rnacentral:rRNA from 1 species
GACGAACGCUGGCGGCGUGCUUAACACAUGCAAGUCGAACGGAAAGGCCCUUCGGGGUGCUCGAGUGGCGAACGGGUGAGUAACACGUGGGUGAUCUGCCCUGCACUUUGGGAUAAGCCUGGGAAACUGGGUCUAAUACCGAAUAUGAUCAUCAGCUUCCUGGCUGGUGGUGGAAAGCUUUUGCGGUGUGGGAUGGGCCCGCGGCCUAUCAGCGUGUUGGUGGGGUAAUGGCCUACCAAGGCGACGACGGGUAGCCGGCCUGAGAGGGUGACCGGCCAAACUGGGACUGAGAUACGGCCCAGACUCCUACGGGAGGCAGCAGUGGGGAAUAUUGCACAAUGGGCGCAGGCCUGAUGCAGCGACGCCGCGUGAGGGAUGACGGCCUUCGGGUUGUAAACCUCUUUCAGCACAGACGAAGCGCAAGUGACGGUAUGUGCAGAAGAAGGACCGGCCAACUACGUGCCAGCCGCCGCGGUAAUAC